AGAAUCAACGCUGGCGGCGUGCCUAACACAUGCAAGUCGAACGAGAAAGUGGAGCAAUCCAUGAGUAAAGUGGCGCACGGGUGAGUAACACGUGACUAACCUACCCUUGAGUGGGGGAUAACCUAGGGAAACCUGGGCUAAUACCGCAUAAUACCUUCGGGUCAAAGGAGCAAUUCGCUUAAGGAGGGGGUCGCGGCCGAUUAGUUAGUUGGCGGGGUAAUGGCCCACCAAGACGAUGAUCGGUAUCCGGCCUGAGAGGGCGCACGGACACACUGGAACUGAAACACGGUCCAGACUCCUACGGGAGGCAGCAGUGGGGAAUUUGCGCAAUGGGGGAAACCCUGACGCAGCAACGCCGCGUGGAGGAUGAAGCCCCUUGGGGCGUAAACUCCUUUCGAUCGGGACGAUUAUGACGGUACCGGAAGAAGAAGCCCCGGCUAACUUCGCGCCAGCAGCCGC
rnacentral:rRNA from 1 species